GGGCGAAUGGUCUAGGGGUAUGAUACUCCCUUCGCAUAUCUGAGUCAUUAGAAUCAUGUGUCUGGGAGGGGUCCGGGGUUCAAUUCCCCGUUCGUCCA
rnacentral:tRNA from 1 species